rnacentral:rRNA from 1 species
GAUGAACGCUGGCGGCGCGCUUAAGACAUGCAAGUCGAACGGAACUUAGUUGAAUGUUUACAUGAAGCCUAGCGAAUGUAAAGUUAGUGGCGGACGGGUGAGUAACGCGUGGGUAACCUGCCAUAUGCUGGGGGACAACAGUUAGAAAUGACUGCUAAUACCGCAUAAGCGCACAGUAUCGCAUGAUACAGUGUGAAAAACUCCGGUGGCAUAUGAUGGACCCGCGUCUGAUUAGCUAGUUGGUGAGGUAACGGCUCACCAAGGCGACGAUCAGUAGCCGACCUGAGAGGGUGACCGGCCACAUUGGGACUGAGACACGGCCCAAACUCCUACGGGAGGCAGCAGUGGGAAUAUUGCACAAUGGGCGAAAGCCUGAUGCAGCGACGCCGCGUGAGCGAAGAAGUAUUUCGGUAUGUAAAGCUCUAUCAGCAGGGAAGAAAAUGACGGUACCUGACUAAGAAGCUCCGGCUAAAUACG